AGAGUUUGAUCAUGGCUCAGAACGUACGCUGGCGGCACGCCUAACACAUGCAAGUCGAACGCAGUAGCAAUACUGAGUGGCAAACGGGUGAGUAUAAUGUGGGAAUCUGCCUUUUGGUUUGGAAUAACACGGGGAAACUUGUGCUAAUACCGAAUAAGCCCUUACGGGGAAAGUUUUAAUGCCGAAAGAUGAGCCCGCACUUGAUUAGCUAGUUGGUAAGGUAAAAGCUUACCAAGGCAACGAUCAAUAGCUGUUCUUAGAGGAAGACCAGCCACAUUGGGACUGAGACACGGCCCAGACUCCUACGGGAGGCAGCAGUGGGGAAUCUUGCACAAUGGGGGAAACCCUGAUGCAGCGAUGCCGCGUGAGUGAAGAAGGCCCUUGGGUUGUAAAACUCUUUCGUCGGGGAAGAAAAUGACUGUACCCGAAUAAGAAGGUCCGGCUAACUUCGUGCCAGCAGCCGCGGUAAUACGAAGGGACCUAGCGUAGUUCGGAAUUACUGGGCUUAAAGAGCUCGUAGGUGGUUAAAAAAGUUGAUGGUGAAAUCCCAAGGCUUAACCUUGGAACUGCCAUCAAAACUUUUUAGCUAGAGUGUGAUAGAGGUAAGUGGAAUUUCUAGUGUAGAGGUGAAAUUCGUAGAUAUUAGAAAGAACACCAAAUGCGAAGGCAACUUACUGGGUCACUACUGACACUGAGGAGCGAAAGCAUGGGUAGCGAAGAGGAUUAGAUACCCUCGUAGUCCAUGCCGUAAACGAUGAGUGCUAGACGUUGGAAAUAUAUUUUUCAGUGUCGCAGCGAAAGCAUUAAGCACUCCGCCUGGGGAGUACGACCGCAAGGUUAAAACUCAAAUGAAUUGACGGGGACCCGCACAAGCAGUGGAGCAUGUGGUUUAAUUCGAAGAUACGCGCAGAACCUUACCAACGCUUGACAUGUUCGUCGCGAGACUAAGAGAUUAGUCUUUUCAGUUUGGCUGGACGAAACACAGGUGCUGCAUGGCAGUCGUCAGCUCGUGUCGUGAGAUGUUGGGUUAAGUCCCGCAACGAGCGCAACCCCUACUUUUAGUUGCCACCAUUCAGUUGGGCACUUUAAAAGAACUGCCAGUGAUAAGCUGGAGGAAGGUGGGGAUGACGUCAAGUCCUCAUGGCCCUUAUGUGUUGGGCUACACACGUGCUACAAUGGCACUUACAAUGGGAAGCAAAGAGGUGACUCUAAGCUAAUCCCUAAAAUGUGCCUCAGUUCGGAUUGUACUCUGUAACUCGAGUGCAUGAAGCUGGAAUUGCUAGUAAUCGCGGAUCAGCGCGCCGCGGUGAAUACGUUCCCGGGUCUUGUACACACCGCCCGUCACACCAUGGAAGUUGGUUACACCUUAAGGCAAAGCUUAUACCUUUGACUACGGUACGAUCAGCAACUGGGGUGAAGUCAUAACAAGGUAGCCGUA
rnacentral:rRNA from 1 species